rnacentral:rRNA from 1 species
GACGAACGCUGGCGGCGUGCUUAACACAUGCAAGUCGAACGGAAAGGCCCUGCUUUUGUGGGGUGCUCGAGUGGCGAACGGGUGAGUAACACGUGAGUAACCUGCCCUUGACUUUGGGAUAACUUCAGGAAACUGGGGCUAAUACCGGAUAGGAGCUCCUGCUGCAUGGUGGGGGUUGGAAAGUUUCGGCGGUUGGGGAGGGACUCGCGGCUUAUCAGCUUGUUGGUGGGGUAGUGGCUUACCAAGGCUUUGACGGGUAGCCGGCCUGAGAGGGUGACCGGCCCCAUUGGGACUGAGCUGCGGCCCAGACUCCUACGGGAGGCAGCAGUGGGGAAUAUUGCACUAUGGGCGGAAGCCUGAUGCAGCAACGCCGCGUGCGGGAUGACGGCCUUCGGGUUGUAAACCGCUUUCGCCUGUGACGAGGCGUGAGUGACGGUAAUGGGUAAAGAAGCACCGGCUAACUACGUG